UUUUGCUGUGACUAAGAACUCUUGAUAUUGUAUUUUCUUUUAUAUAUUACUCAAUAGACCUGAAUAUCACUAUAUUCUGUCUCAGACUAGAAUAGAGUUUGUACAUCACGACUGACCUAACCGUCAGAUUCCCCCCCUCCCACUAUGCGGCUUCCAGUAGACCAGUUACUAUAGAAGACGCACGGAAACGAACAAAAACUAGUCGGCAGCCGGUGUAUACAUCAUCUGCAGAGGUUAAUGCAUGGUCUUUCAUAUUGAAACUAACACUGGUUACCGUUUCUUGAACCUUUCAGAUUUUACUUCUAAAACAAUAUUACAUAGUGUUAGUGAUAUGACAUCUUGCUUAAGUAUACACACACAAAAGUAUAUUAUUUAAUAAUUCAAUCAAUAGAUAUUUUCAUAAUUCACAUCCAAACUU